AAUCCGUGGCUUACCUGGGUCAAGGGAACGUAUUGGCUUUACAUUUUUGAACUUUUCUUUAUCUUGAUGUCUUAGAAGUCUCUUUACCAAGGAUAAAGGUGCAGCCGGAGUCUCAACUAAAGCAGGCAACACUGGUUUGAAGUAAAGGAGAUAUCACAAGAAAUGCAGCAACUUCUUGAAUGUAAGAACUGGCCUACAAACCUCAGACCAAGAGCACCAGUGAAAAGAAAGAGAUGGUCAAAACCACGUGAGCCUAACUGACGUAGAGUUAAAGAGGACAACGGGGAUGGCCGCUGGCAAAUUUUGCUGUUGGCGGAUGGAAUGGAGGAGCUUGACGAAACGGUCCCGCAGUUUCUGUCGGGUUUCACCAAUGUAGAGGAUGCCAUUUCAAGAGUACCGGAUACAAUGGAUGACCUCUACAGAUUCGCAGCUAAGGUAUUGCCUCACCUGGAAGGACUGUUGGGGGACCGGAAUUCAGGUAAAGGAGGAGAUGAAUGGUCAGGUCUAUUUCAACAGCUAUUUUUUGACUAGGUUGUGAUCUUAUAUGAAAUUAUAUUCUGCAAUGAUACCAUGAUCAUAAUGGCUUUGAGUUGAUCAAAUUUAUUGAGAAAUAACUCACCUUGUCUGAAGAGGUGUAUCAAAAAUCGAAACUAGUUUUCAAGGAAGCGAUUUAUCAUCACACAAAUGCAUCAAUUUAGUGCAUUUGAAAAUUAAGUGAGGGCAAAGUAAUUGAAAUAGUACUUUUUUGUUAAAGGGAAGGCAAACUGACAAGUGACAUUAGAAAGUAAAAAUUUAAUUUUACAGUUAUUUGUUUUAUUUUCCUACAAAUAUUAAAGCAACAGAUUGCACCAGGCCUUUGGGUUGUUUUAUUACUGUAAUUUCAAAGUUUGUUUUAGCAUCCUUUGGUGACUGCUAAAAGCAAAGGAGUCUAUCAGGUAAAUCUCUAGCCCCUAAAAGUUUAAACUUGAUGGUUGCAGAUAUGUUGGUAAUAGUCCUCAAUAGUUGAAUGUAUUCAUUUUUAUUUUCAGGUACCUAUUGGUCUUUAAGUGGAAUGAAAAUAAAAUUCUGAAGGUAUAUUUGCAUCUCUGCAAUCAAAAAUUCUAUUUUCCUAAUGUUAUACAACUAUCCCACAAAUACUUAACUGACUUCCUUUUUAUUGGAAUCAUACAUAUUAUCAAUAAAUAUAAAU